rnacentral:rRNA from 1 species
GAUGAACGCUGGCGGCGUGCCUAAUACAUGCAAGUCGAGCGAACGGACGAGAAGCUUGCUUCUCUGAUGUUAGCGGCGGACGGGUGAGUAACACGUGGAUAACCUACCUAUAAGACUGGGAUAACUUCGGGAAACCGUAGCUAAUACCGGAUAAUAUUUUGAACCGCAUGGUUCAAAAGUGAAAGACGGUCUUGCUGUCACUUAUAGAUGGAUCCGCGCUGCAUUAGCUAGUUGGUAAGGUAACGGCUUACCAAGGCAACGAUGCAUAGCCGACCUGAGAGGGUGAUAGGCCACACUGGGACUGAGACACGGUCCAGACUCCUACGGGAGGCAGCAGUAGGGAAUCUUCCGCAAUGGGCGAAAGCCUGACGGAGCAACGCCGCGUGAGUGAUGAAGGUCUUCGGAUCGUAAAACUCUGUUAUUAGGGAAGAACAUAUGUGUAAGUAACUGUGCACAUCUUGACGGUACCUAAUCAGAAAGCCACGGCUAACUACGUG